CCAAAAACAAGAUGAAGUCUUCUCUUAUACUAAUUACAAUUAUGUUGUCUACCAUUCUCUUCUUCUCAUCGUCAUUAGUCCUUGCUCGAGAAUUAAAAGAAGGUGCUCCUAUUUAUAAGCGAGUGAUCGGAGCAUCAACGCCAUUCAACCCUUUCGAUCCUAGAAAUCCAAAAUUUAAUUGUGGCCGCGGAAAACCCUAUUCCUCAUGCGUAAGAGUACCACCAAAAGCCCCGCCCUGUGAUUCCUAUAACCGCGGCAACUGCCCACCUGGAGGCCAUUGAAUGAUUAGAUCGAUCUGAUCAGAUCAGAUCGAUCCACUUAAAUCAUCUCUUCACGUACAUGGAAUUAAUAAUAAUUCUCUAAGUGCUGCCAAAGCUUACUCAUCGUCAUCAGCUGUGUUAGUGUUAUGUAUUUUAUAUAAAUAUAUCCUCAUCAUGUAAAACCAAUAAAAGGGAGAUAUGAACAAUAUAUUAUAUAGUACGUACUAAUACUAUUUCAUGUAUAGAAAGCCUGCAGACUGGUUUUGCAAGAUCGAGUAGUGUACGUACUCUUGCAAUAAAUCUUAAUCAAUAUAAAUAACAUUUUUGU